rnacentral:rRNA from 1 species
CCUACGGGCGGCAGCAGUAGGGAAUCUUUCACAAUGGGCGAAAGCCUGAUGGAGCAACGCCGCGUGCAGGAUGAAGGCCUUCGGGUUGUAAACUGCUUUUAUAAGCGAGAAAUAUGAUGGUAACUUAUGAAUAAGGAUCGGCUAACUACGUGCCAGCAGCCGCGGUCAUACGUAGGAUCCGAGCAUUAUCCGGAGUGACUGGGUGUAAAGAGUUGCGUAGGUGGCAUAAUAAGUAGCUAGUGAAAUCUGGUGGCUCAACCAUUCAGACUAUUAGCUAAACUGUUAAGCUCGAGACCGUUAGAGGUAACUGGAAUUUGUGGUGUAGGAGUGAAAUCCGUAGAUAUUAGAAGGAACACCAAUAGCGUAGGCAGGUUGCUGGGACGGUACUGACACUAAGGCACGAAAGCGUAGGGAGCAAACGGGAUUAGAUACCCUAGUAGUC